GCCCCUAUAGCUCAGAUGGUAGAGCAAUUGAUUUGUAAUCAAUAGGUCCGCGGUUCGAGUCCGUGUGGGGGCACCA
rnacentral:tRNA from 1 species